CCUACGGGUGGCAGCAGUGGGGAAUAUUGGACAAUGGGGGGAACCCUGAUCCAGCCAUGCCGCGUGUGUGAAGAAGGCCCUCGGGUUGUAAAGCACUUUCAGUGAGGAAGAACGCCUGGUGGUUAAUACCCAUCAGGAAAGACAUCACUCACAGAAGAAGCACCGGCUAACUCCGUGCCAGCAGCCGCGGUAAUACGGAGGGUGCGAGCGUUAAUCGGAAUUACUGGGCGUAAAGCGCGCGUAGGUGGUUUGAUAAGCCGGUUGUGAAAGCCCCGGGCUCAACCUGGGAACGGCAUCCGGAACUGUCAAGCUAGAGUGCAGGAGAGGAAGGUAGAAUUCCCGGUGUAGCGGUGAAAUGCGUAGAGAUCGGGAGGAAUACCAGUGGCGAAGGCGGCCUUCUGGACUGACACUGACACUGAGGUGCGAAAGCGUGGGUAGCAAACAGGAUUAGAUACCCCUGUAGUC
rnacentral:rRNA from 1 species